rnacentral:rRNA from 1 species
UACAGAGGUCUCAAGCGUUGUUCGGAGUUACUGGGCGUAAAGGGUGCGUAGGUGGCCGCGCAAGUCAGAUGUGAAAUCCGGGGGCCCAACCCCCGAACUGCAUCCGAAACUGCAUGGCUUGAGUACCGGAGAGGUUCAGAGAAUUCCCGGUGUAGAGGUGAAAUUCGUAGAUAUCGGGAGGAAUACCAGUGGCGAAGGCGCUGAACUGGACGGUAACUGACGCUGAGGUGCGAAAGCGUGGGUAGCAAACAGG